CGCGGUGCAGAUGGUCACGUCUGGGCUCAUAACCCGGGACGUGAAGGUUCGAUUCCUUCCACCGCGC